GACGAACGCUGGCGGCGUGCUUAACACAUGCAAGUCGAACGGAAAGGCCCUGCUUUUGUGGGGUGCUCGAGUGGCGAACGGGUGAGUAACACGUGAGUAACCUGCCCUUGACUUUGGGAUAACUUCAGGAAACUGGGGCUAAUACCGGAUAGGAGCUCCUGCUGCAUGGUGGGGGUUGGAAAGUUUCGGCGGUUGGGGAUGGACUCGCGGCUUAUCAGCUUGUUGGUGGGGUAGUGGCUUACCAAGGCUUUGACGGGUAGCCGGCCUGAGAGGGUGACCGGCCACAUUGGGACUGAGAUACGGCCCAGACUCCUACGGGAGGCAGCAGUGGGGAAUAUUGCACAAUGGGCGGAAGCCUGAUGCAGCAACGCCGCGUGCGGGAUGACGGCCUUCGGGUUGUAAACCGCUUUCGCCUGUGACGAAGCGUGAGUGACGGUAAUGGGUAAAGAAGCACCGGCUAACUACGUGCCAGCAGCCGCGGUGAUACGUAGGGUGCGAGCGUUGUCCGGAUUUAUUGGGCGUAAAGGGCUCGUAGGUGGUUGAUCGCGUCGGAAGUGUAAUCUUGGGGCUUAACCCUGAGCGUGCUUUCGAUACGGGUUGACUUGAGGAAGGUAGGGGAGAAUGGAAUUCCUGGUGGAGCGGUGGAAUGCGCAGAUAUCAGGAGGAACACCAGUGGCGAAGGCGGUUCUCUGGGCCUUUCCUGACGCUGAGGAGCGAAAGCGUGGGGAGCGAACAGGCUUAGAUACCCUGGUAGUCCACGCUGUAAACGGUGGGUACUAGGUGUGGGGUCCAUUCCACGGGUUCCGUGCCGUAGCUAACGCUUUAAGUACCCCGCCUGGGGAGUACGGCCGCAAGGCUAAAACUCAAAGGAAUUGACGGGGCCCCGCACAAGCGGCGGAGCAUGCGGAUUAAUUCGAUGCAACGCGUAGAACCUUACCUGGGUUUGACAUGGAUCGGGAGUGCUCAGAGAUGGGUGUGCCUCUUUUGGGGUCGGUUCACAGGUGGUGCAUGGCUGUCGUCAGCUCGUGUCGUGAGAUGUUGGGUUAAGUCCCGCAACGAGCGCAACCCUUGUUCACUGUUGCCAGCACGUUAUGGUGGGGACUCAGUGGAGACCGCCGGGGUCAACUCGGAGGAAGGUGGGGAUGACGUCAAGUCAUCAUGCCCCUUGUGUCCAGGGCUUCACGCAUGCUACAAUGGCUGGUACAGAGAGUGGCGAGCCUGUGAGGGUGAGCGAAUCUCGGAAAGCCGGUCUCAGUUCGGAUCGGGGUCUGCAACUCGACCUCAUGAAGUCGGAGUCGCUAGUAAUCGCAGAUCAGCAACGCUGCGGUGAAUACGUUCCCGGGGCC
rnacentral:rRNA from 1 species